UUUAAUUUUGAUGGUAAUUGAAUUGUUCUACCUCACAGGAAAAGAGGCAUUUCUGUAUAAGUAUAGAGGGAUUCUUCACCACAAGUUAGAACUGCAAUAACAUCCUCACACUCAGCAUUGCCCAGCUGUUAUAUGCACUUCUAGAAAGAAUGAGAAAAACUGGCAGCAGAGACAAACAAUAUGGAAGCUUUCCUCUUUCUAAACUUUUUAUGAUCUGGAUGAAUUCUGGAACUGAGACCUGUGGCAUUCUGCUGAGGUCUGUAUUUUCAAUACAAUUUCGAUGAUCUUCAUAGUUCAAUGUGAGUCUGGAAAUUCACAGCCAUAUGUGUUUUUUGGAAUUAUUAAAGAGCUCAUGUGGUUCAGUCAUGACUCUAAGUGUGCUAACUGUAUUGGCCAGUGCUGUGUCCAGUGCCUUUCACUAUCAACUGAAAUAGCCAACUGCACAAACACAGCUGCCUCAUCUAUAAACAGAAAGUCUAUAAAUAACAUGAUUAUAGCAAUGACAACAACAGACCUUCCAUCUCUAUGCCAAGUGGGAGGGGGUGCUCUCAAAAUUUUGGAGAGCAAUUCUAUCCUCUGCAGAAAUACAAGAUUUGUGCUAAUAAUUUUCACUAUCAAAGAUGUUUCAUUGUGAAAGAGUUUUGUCCCACUGAUGUAUUAUUUUAUAGCCUAAGUGGAUAUUAGUGACUGUCUAUGGUGUAAGAUGUCAAGUUUUUGGAAACUCCAUUUAUGCCUCAGGGGCCUGAUGGUAGCAAACUGUACUGUCAUACAAAAACACUUAUGCUUUUUCUUUCCUAUGUAAUAGAAAAGACUUUGUAAAGGGGUACAGUUGUGCUUUCUUGAAUUCCUUUGAAGGGAGCAUAUCCACUGUACAACUUCAGUUUUCUAUGACUAGAAAAAUUUACCCCAUGAUAUACAAUAUCUUACGUUACACUAAAGUGUACAGGAACUCUGAAAGCUGGAAGUGAGGUGGUAUGGGAGCUACUAUGUCUCAGCAAAAGAAGAGAUUAACAGAAUUUUUGUAUAAAUUGAAGUUCUUCUGUAAGAAGAUGAGUAGAUAGAAUCAUAGAAUCAUGGAAUUGCUCAGAUUGGAAAGGACCUUCGUGACCAUCAAAUCCAACCGCAACCUAACCAUACUGCUCUAACAACCCACCGCUAAAUCAUGUCCCUGAGCACCACAUCCAAAAUAUAAGAUAAGAGCAGUUGAAACAAAUUCCAAGACUACAGUCUACAAUCUAAUCCUAUAAACAUUUUGGUAUAACAAUUAAUGCAAUUCUAAUCUGGCUAUUUGUAUAAAAGAAGCCAGAAGCACCAAAAUCAGUUAGAAGAUAAAGGUUUUUUUAUUGAAA